GAUCCUUUUGCACUGAGUCCUAAGCACAGAGAAUUUUUUUGACAACAUAUCCAUGUCUGCUGACACCAAUGUAUUCUUUGUCUCAGCUACUGAAUAGUGACUGAGGAGCACAGAGCAGUCAGCAGACCCUCAAGUUUUAGCCACUGAUUUAAGCGUCUACUUUUGGAGGCGAACAAGCUGUUCAGUGUGGAGCAUCAGCUGGGCGGGGUGGAAUCUAUGGAGAAAUCUGAUACAGAAAAAGAGAGAGAAGCAGCUGCCAUCACCAGGAAAUAUAUUCAGCACAGAAUUCCUGGGGACUGCUCCUGAUUCACUGCUGUCUGGCGCUGGCUCAUCUGGACCUUUGAUAAAUGUGUCAGUGAUUUACAAUGGAUAUAAAUGCCAGCAAUGCCUUGUAACUGGAUCACUUAAAAUACUUGACUCCAAGCCCAGAGAGAGCACCAAAGGAGACAUCAAAAGGGGAAUGGCAUACCACUAUGUGUCCAGCUCCCUCUUGACAAAGUAAUUUUUUCCCAAGUCCCACUGUAGCUUCAGACCACCAGGAGGCCAUGGACAUGAUCUCUGCAGUCCAGCAGCUCCAGGAAAAACACUGAGAACAACACCAGGAACUGUGUACGGCCUUUAUUGAUUUGACCACAGCCAUUGACUCUGUUAACGAUGAGGCUCUAUGGAAGAUCUUAUUAGGGCUGUGUGAAUCUUCAGGUGGUGAUUCGAUUUGGGAGAGAUUUGGCUCAAUUUGGUGGCCGAAUCUCCGAAUCCAAAUCGAAUCAGGGGACCAAUUUAAAGGUCCAAAUCAAUUCAAAGCUCUCCCAAUCUUCAGAAAAGACUGGGAGAGCUUUG
ensembl:lncRNA